AACGAACGCUGGCGGCAAGCCUAACACAUGCAAGUCGAACGGGCACCUUCGGGUGUCAGUGGCAGACGGGUGAGUAACGCGUGGGAACGUACCCUUCGGUUCGGAAUAACCCGGGGAAACUCGGGCUAAUACCGGAUACGUCCGCAAGGAGAAAGAUACAUCGCCGAGGGAUCGGCCCGCGUCCGAUUAGCUAGUUGGUGGGGUAAUGGCCCACCAAGGCGACGAUCGGUAGCUGGUCUGAGAGGAUGAUCAGCCACACUGGGACUGAGACACGGCCCAGACUCCUACGGGAGGCAGCAGUGGGGAAUAUUGGACAAUGGGCGAAAGCCUGAUCCAGCCAUGCCGCGUGAGUGAAGAAGGCCCUAGGGUUGUAAAGCUCUUUCAGCGGGGAAGAUAAUGACGGUACCCGCAGAAGAAGCCCCGGCUAACUUCGUGCCAGCAGCCGCGGUAAUACGAAGGGGGCUAGCGUUGUUCGGAUUUACUGGGCGUAAAGCGCGCGUAGGCGGACAUUUAAGUCAGGGGUGAAA
rnacentral:rRNA from 1 species